rnacentral:rRNA from 1 species
CUCGUAGGCGGUUCGUUGCGUCCGGUGUGAAAGUCCAUCGCUUAACGGUGGAUCCGCGCCGGGUACGGGCGGGCUCGAGUGCGGUAGGGGAGACUGGAAUUCCCGGUGUAACGGUGGAAUGUGUAGAUAUCGGGAAGAACACCAAUGGCGAAGGCAGGUCUCUGGGCCGUCACUGACGCUGAGGAGCGAAAGCGUGGGGAGCGAACA